AUUGAACGCUGGCGGCAGGCUUAACACAUGCAAGUCGAGCGGAGAUGAGGUGCUUGCACCUUAUCUUAGCGGCGGACGGGUGAGUAAUGCUUAGGAAUCUGCCUAUUAGCGGGGGACAACAUUCCGAAAGGAAUGCUAAUACCGCAUACGUCCUACGGGAGAAAGCAGGGGAUCUUCGGACCUUGCGCUAAUAGAUGAGCCUAAGUCGGAUUAGCUAGUUGGUGGGGUAAAGGCCUACCAAGGCGACGACCUGUAGCGGGUCUGAGAGGAUGAUCCGCCACACUGGGACUGAGACACGGCCCAGACUCCUACGGGAGGCAGCAGUGGGGAAUAUUGGACAAUGGGGGGAACCCUGAUCCAGCCAUGCCGCGUGUGUGAAGGAGGCCUUAUGGUUGUAAAGCACUUUAAGCGAGGAGGAGGCUACUGAGACUAAUACUCUUGGAUAGUGGACGUUACUCGCAGAAUAAGCACCGGCUAACUCUGUGCCAGCAGCCGCCGUAA
rnacentral:rRNA from 1 species